rnacentral:rRNA from 1 species
GACGAACGCCGGCGGCGUGCCUAAUACAUGCAAGUAGAACGCACAGUUUAUACCGUAGCUUGCUACACCAUAGACUGUGAGUUGCGAACGGGUGAGUAACGCGUAGGUAACCUGCCUGGUAGCGGGGGAUAACUAUUGGAAACGAUAGCUAAUACCGCAUAAUAUUAAUUAUUGCAUGAUAAUUAAUUGAAAGGUGCAAUUGCACCACUACCAGAUGGACCUGCGUUGUAUUAGCUAGUAGGUGAGGUAACGGCUCACCUAGGCGACGAUACAUAGCCGACCUGAGAGGGUGAUCGGCCACACUGGGACUGGGACACGGCCCAGACUCCUACGGGAGGCAGCAGUAGGGAAUCUUCGGCAAUGGACGAAAGUCUGACCGAGCAACGCCGCGUGAGUGAAGAAGGUUUUCGGAUCGUAAAGCUCUGUUGUAAGAGAAGAACGGGUGUGAGAGUGGAAAGUUCACACUGUGACGGUAUCUUACCAGAAAGGGACGGCUAACUACGUG